rnacentral:rRNA from 1 species
AGGUGCUAAUACCGUAUAACAAUCGAAACCGCAUGGUUUCGUUUUGAAAGGCGCUUUACGGUGCCGCUGAUGGAUGGACCCGCGGUGCAUUAGCUAGUUGGUGAGGUAACGGCUCACCAAGGCCACGAUGCAUAGCCGACCUGAGAGGGUGAUCGGCCACAUUGGGACUGAGACACGGCCCAAACUCCUACGGGAGGCAGCAGUAGGGAAUCUUCGGCAAUGGACGAAAGUCUGACCGAGCAACGCCGCGUGAGUGAAGAAGGUUUUCGGAUCGUAAAACUCUGUUGUUAGAGAAGAACAAGGGUGAGAGUAACUGUU